rnacentral:pre_miRNA from 14 species
UUUUUAUUAAAUUGGGUGUUUCUUAUUUACAUUUCAAAUGUUAUUCUCUUUCCCUGUUUCCUGUCUAUCUGAAAGACUCCCAGAGCAGGGAGACCCUUACUCAAGUCUCGGGAUGAUGUGACCCCCUAAGAACUCACAUGACA